rnacentral:rRNA from 1 species
GACGAACGCUGGCGGCGUGCCUAAUACAUGCAAGUAGAACGCACAGUUUAUACCGUAGCUUGCUACACCAUAGACUGUGAGUUGCGAACGGGUGAGUAACGCGUAGGUAACCUGCCUGGUAGCGGGGGAUAACUAUUGGAAACGAUAGCUAAUACCGCAUAAUAUUGAUUAUUGCAUGAUAAUUGAUUGAAAGAUGCUAUUGCAUCACUACCAGAUGGACCUGCGUUGUAUUAGCUAGUAGGUGAGGUAACGGCUCACCUAGGCGACGAUACAUAGCCGACCCUGGAAGGGUGAUGGGCCACACUGGACCUGGACCACGGCCCAAACUCCUCCGGGGGGCACAAGUGGGGAAUCUUCGGCAAUGAAGGAAGGUCUACCGGGGAAACGCCGCGGAGGUAAGGAGGGUUUUCGGUCGUAAAGCUCUGUUGUAAGAGAAGAACGGGUGUGAGAGUGGAAAGUUCACACUGUGACGGUAUCUGACCAGAAAGGGACGGCUAACUACGUG